rnacentral:rRNA from 1 species
CAGCCGCCGCGGUAAUACGGAGGGGGCUAGCGUUGUUCGGAAUUACUGGGCGUAAAGCACACGUAGGCGGCUUGGUAAGUUAGAGGUGAAAGCCCGGAGCUCAACUCCGGAAUCGCCUUUAAGACUGCCGAGCUAGUAGGUGAGAGAGGUAAGUGGAAUUCCGAGUGUAGAGGUGAAAUUCGUAGAUAUUCGGAAGAACACCAGUGGCGAAGGCGGCUUACUGGCUCAUUCUAGACGCUGAGGUGCGAAAGCGUGGGGAGCAAACAGGAUUAGAUACCCGAGUAGUCCCUGUCUCUUAUAC